rnacentral:rRNA from 1 species
UAAAAAAUGAAUCGGGCUCGGCCCGAUCCUCCCACCCUUUGUGUACCUACCUCUGUUGCUUUGGCGGGCCGCGGUCCUCCGCGGCCGCCCCCCUCCCCGGGGGGGUGGCCAGCGCCCGCCAGAGGACCAUCAAACUCCAGUCAGUAAACGAUGCAGUCUGAAAAACAUUUAAUAAACUAAAACUUUCAACAACGGAUCUCUUGGUUCUGGCAUCGAUGAAGAACGCAGCGAAAUGCGAUAAGUAAUGUGAAUUGCAGAAUUCAGUGAAUCAUCGAAUCUUUGAACGCACAUUGCGCCCUUUGGUAUUCCGAAGGGCAUGCCUGUUCGAGCGUCAUUACAACCCUCAAGCUCUGCUUGGUAUUGGGCACCGUCCUUUGCGGGCGCGCCUCAAAGACCUCGGCGGUGGCGUCUUGCCUCAAGCGUAGUAGAACAUACAUCUCGCUUCGGAGCGCAGGGCGUCGCCCGCCGGACGAACCUUCUGAACUUUUCUCAAGGUUGACCUCGGAUCAGGUAGGGAUACCCGCUGAACUUAAGCAUAUCAAUAAGCCGGAGGAA